GGUAGUUCUAUUUGUAGUUUUUUAAGGAACCUCCAUACUGGAAUAUCCAUUUCUGCGUUUCAUCUUCUGACCCUCAGGAAGUCCUCCUGCUUGGCUGUAGUGAGUCUAGUUUCUUUCCAGCAUUUCUCUCCGGAGGCGACGGCUGAAAGACCUCCUUUUCUGGCUCACGGGCCUCCCUCCAUGAGGAGAACCUUUCACCCUCUUCCUCACCCUCUGACCCUCCGAGGACCCUCGACCAGCCCCAAGUCGCCUAAAGGCCGGGACGCUGGGUUCUAGAACAUUGGUGAAUCAGCCAAUUCUCUUAGAUCGUCCCUGAAGGAAGGUUGGGAUAAAAUGAGAGCCGAUGGCGUGGGAGAGGCUGCUACUUCCAACAGUGUUCCUCGACUUUUUUUUUUUUUUUUUUUAAGCAUUUGCUAAAGCAGUUUAGCAAUUGAGAAUGUGCUUUGCUGACUUUUUUCUGCUGUAGACACUAAUCACCAUUUACUAGAGUUUUUGUUGUUUGUGUUUCGUUUUCUCCCUUUUACAUUUGGGUUUCAGUGAAGUAGUUCAAUCAUGUGGUUAAAAAAAAAAAUCAAGCAAUACAAAAUGAUCCAGUGUUGAAAGGUCCCUGCCCCACUCCUCCGAAACCCAAAAGGGGCUCCUUUACAUUAUGUACCCCUUCAACUAUUGCACAAGUUGUCAGUGACAAACCUUGCACGUGGUCUUAUCACAAUACUCACUCCCCACGUCUUCCUCAAUUUCCCUCCGCUCUCCUUUUUUUUAAAAAUCAAUCAGCCUUUUCUUUUGAUCAUCUCCUACAGAGUCUUUUUAGGCAUCCUUUAAUCACCCCCUUACAAUUUUAAUAAAACACAAAUACCACAUACUAUUUAUGUGCCGUAUGUAUCUGUGCUUUAUGUAUAUAAAAAGAAGAUGUUCCCUCCCGCCCCCAGGAACCAAUUUUCAGCCUCUUAGGGACAGUGUCGCCCCCACAGCAAAUGAUGCCUUAAGCAGAGCUUGAGUGAUGUCCGUGAGUAUGGUAACAGCUGAUGCAUUUGGGGUAAAGCCAAUCUGAAUUAGCAAACGAUCUGAAUUAUAGAAUAUCUUUGUUAUGUUUCGUCAGCCUCAGGAAAUGAACCGGCUACAGAAGUUAACUUUCCAGAUAUCGGGAACGUACGCCUUUAAGCACCCAAACAUGCAUCUUUUCAAGUGUUAGGUGCGGCAGACAUUUUGCAGUUUUCUUAUUCAAGAGAUACUAAGUAUAAUUUCACUCCUUAUAGAUGAUCUAGGGUCCUUACCAGAUUGCCCUAUGAUGGGCAUCCAGACACCGCUGAGAUGUGAAGAUUGUUUGCAGACUUAGGGACUGAAGGACCUGGGAGUGAUCUCUCCUACUGCGAGCCUCCUUCCAUGUACCGGCUGCGUGGUCUGCAGCAGUGUUUUGCCUUGAAUAGCACCCCGGCUCUCCUCCCUCGAAACUUGCUGCUAAGAUGCCGGGGUUCUUUGUGUGUAUGGUUGAAAAGAGUAAAUGAUUAGGAGGAAAGUCCCUGGGCUCUUGAUUCGAGAAAUGCAGUGCUUGGGCUUUGAGUGUUUGGGCUCAAGAGCAGGGCUCUGUCCCAGUACCUCCGACUCAGUCGAGACCUGGAAGAGGAGCUGCCAACACGUGGUCCUCCCAGUUCAAGUCCAAGUGCCCCCGCCCUCUGCCCAAUGCAGGGCCCAGGCAGAAAGCCCUGCCCCAGCCGCCGGGGGAGGGGAGGCAGCUUCAGAACUGGGCUCUCCAGGUGAUGCCCUCUGAGGCGCACGGGGCCCUCUCCGGGCUGCUUUAAGGUCCCGAUGAUGCCGUCUGUGUGUAAGAUGCUCUGCAGCUGACAGGGUAUUUUUCCUAAUUUAUCUUGUUUGAUUCCCAAAAACCUCUGUAAAAUGGGCUCAGGCUGUGUUAUGAUCUCUUCGAUGGGAGAAAUGUGGAAGAAUAAACGACAUAGCUCAGAAUCGCAUGCCGGUACCUGAACCUGUAUCGCUUUGAGGUGCUAUGUCUGACUCAAGUCUUUUAAACCUUUCAGGACGUCACCUUGUUGGAGAAUAUAUUUCACCAUUCAAAAGGAGCAGAUCACAGGCCCAUUUCAACUCAGGCUGGUGGUUCUAAACUGGUGGCUUCCAAAUGAUGAAAAUGCCAAAGUAGUUGGGGUUCUCCUGGGAGCCCUGGAUUCCAGAAAAUGGAGACGGUGCUUGGUUGCCCGGGAGAUGGGGGCCCAAGUGGACCACACUCGGGCUUUCCGCCAAGUCUGUGAGUUCACGGGUCUUCACCCUUGCCAAGGGUUUUGCACAUUCCUCCGGCCCUCUGGCCUUUCUAAGACAUGACUUAGAGGGAGAAGUAAACAGAAAAGCCAGACGCUCAGCCUCUAGACCCUUUGGAAUCUAGCGUUUGAAAGCCCUUGCUCUGUGGCCUUGAGUCUGGGGUUCCCCCUGGGGCCAUCUGAAAGCUAGAGUCGGGAGCAGAUCUCAUCAACUCUUGCCUUUGGCACCUUCAGAGCCCUUGGCCUGGCGAGAGACCCCAGGGACUGCAGGGCCCACGAGAAGAGAUUAAAUGAGGUUACCACUGGGUCCUUCCAUGGGGCACGUGAUGCCCCUGAAGAUUUCAAGGAUAGCUGGGAAUUCCAUACUUUUGGGGUGUUGCACUUUGGCGUGCUAGAAAUAAUUAUUGCCAUUGGUUUUUGCUUUUUCUGUACUUUCCUGUAUUUUGAAAAUUAAGAUACCCCUAUUGUCACUGGGUUUAGAUGUCACUGGUAUGAGUUGAACUCUUCAAGCCGAGGUGGUUCAUCUUUGCCAAAAAAAUCACCCUCUUGUCACUCAAAGCGCCUGUCACUGGAGUUCCCGGGGGAGCCAGGAGGCGUGCGUGACCUGGAAGGGGGCCGCUGGUGUGCAGGAAAGGCGUGGGUGCCUGAGUCGGUCGGGGACUGUCAUCCUCGGAGCCACGGCCUCAUAAACAGCUCUGGGGAAGAGGAAAGGAAGCCCCAAGGAGGUGACACAUGAUCUCACUCAGAGUCAAGUGCCACGGUGACCUUUAGAACUUUCCAUGAAAUCCAACACGGUAUUUUGCAACCAGCAGGAGAGCACCAGCAAAUGCGCUAGCGGGCGCGCAGCCCCCCUCUGCUCUGAGCACCGCCCCCCCAGGCCUCUUACGUAAUGGGGUUUUGUUUGGCUCGCGGCCUUUCAGGGGUCUGGUGCUUUUCAGGUACCGUCACGUGAUCUGUAAAGGUGACUGAGUGCAUUUGCAGUGGAUGUGUCUUCAUUUCCUUUUCAAACAUCCCAACCCAGAAGAGGCAGCCUGGGGUCCUAAAUGCCACUGGAUGGGGGACCGGCGACCCGGGCUGCCAGUGCAGCCCCGCCACUGGCUCCCGGGGGAUCUUGGGCAAAUCGUUUUGCUUCUCUGAACCUCCGUUGCUUUUGUUUCUUAAACUGAAUAGUGAGGGCUGGCCUCCCUACCUCACAGCCUGGUUGAGAUGAACCAAGGAAAGUGCUUUGGGAAGAGCCUGGAAACUCAGUACACACGGAAGGCCCUGGUCUCCACCGGGAUGCACCCUCCUGGACGCAGCCCUGGACGCUGGGGCGCAGUUGAGGGGUGUGUCUGGAGCCGGGGGUGAGAAGUGGGGAAGGUCUGCACUGGGUCUCAGCCGCUUCUCUCUCAUCCAGGCCUCUGGUCACCAUCUUGGUGAGAUUCUUUGCAGCAGCGCAUAACCUAGCACUCAGAGAGGCUUCCGUGACAAGGGAGGUUUGGGCCUUUAAAUUUUUUCAUUACUAUUACUUUUAUUAUUAUAUGAAAACUGGAAAUCCAGAGGCGGGGUGGACUUCAAGGACGAUUGCUCCUUGGGGUGUUCCGUGGGCCGCCCAGCCUGGGCUUCUGAUGGGAGGACAGUGGGCCUGUCUCCACGGCCCCUGGGUCCUCAGCCAUCAGGGCCUCCUGCUGCACAUGCUGGGGACGGGGCGGGUGGAGGGACCAACAGAUGCUGGGCAUCAACUGUGGUGUCCGCACGGACAGAUGACAAGUCCGGGGGUCUAGCAGGAAGCCAGCGAUAGCCUCCCGGCUCAGUGCCUGUCCCCCACCCCGUGCUGUGAGAACAGGCCUCCGGAUCACCAGCCGACAGCUGCCAACGGUUGAACUGGUUUACCCGCACCUGGGGUCACCGGGGCCUCCGGGAGAAGUGCAGCACGCCACGCGGAGGGAGUGGGCCGUUCCGUUCUUGCAUCUGAAGCAGCGGUCAGAUCCCCGCUGUCAGGGAGCUUUCCGUCUGGCUGGGGAGAAAAGAAACACAAAAUGAAACAAGCUCACAGCAUGCAGUGUCUCCAGGGAGUAUUCUUCAACACCAUUUCAUUUUUCGAGUUCUCCAGGGUGGUCUUAUAGUUGAAAACCCAGAAGAAGAACAAAAACGAAAUGCAAUUGGAGUUCCCUAAAAUUCCGCCCCUCCCCAGAUCCUGCAGACCUAGUGUCGAGGCAGCGAUCUGGGGAGCCUUGUUCCCUCAGCCUGGGGAAAAGUGCUUAAAACAUAAAGGCUUCUGCUGCCCCCACUACCUAUCCCAGGCUUCCGGGUGUAGCAGCCACCAAGAGAGUGACCUGUAAAGUAGGCUCCAGAAAUACAUUUUAAAACACCGUUCCAUCUUGGAAGCCACUAGUUCCUUCUUUUUCAGCUCUUCCCUUAAAAAAAAAAAAAAAAAAA